GACGUAGGGCGCGAGCGUUGUCCGGAUUUAUUGGGCGUAAAGAGCUCGUAGGCGGCUCGUUGCGUCAACCGUGAAAACCCGGGGCUUAACUUCGGGCUUGCGGUUGAUACGGGCGGGCUGGAGUUCGGUAGGGGAGACUGGAAUUCCUGGUGUAGCGGUGAAAUGCGCAGAUAUCAGGAGGAACACCAAUAGCGAAGGCAGCUCGCUGGGACGUUACUGACACUGAGGCGCGAAAGCGUGGGGAGCGAACAGG
rnacentral:rRNA from 1 species